AUUGAACGCUGGCGGCAGGCCUAACACAUGCAAGUCGAACGAGUGGCGGACGGGUGAGUAAUGUCUGGGAAACUGCCUGAUGUAGGGGGAUAACUACUGGAAACGGUAGCUAAUACCGCAUACCACCAUUUGUGCCCAGAGUGGAUUAGCUAGUUGGUGGGGUAAAGGCUCACCAAGGCGACGAUCCCUACCUGGUCUGAGAGGAUGACCAGCCACACUGGAACUGAGACACGGUCCAGACUCCUACGGGAGGCAGCAGUGGGGAAUAUUGCACAAUGGGCGCAAGCCUGAUGCAGCCAUGCCGCGUGUAUGAAGAAGGCCUUCGGGUUGUAAAGUACUUUCAGCGGGGAGGCGUUACCCACAGAGGAAGCAACGGCUAACUCCGUGCCAGCAGCCGCGGUAAUAC
rnacentral:rRNA from 1 species